rnacentral:rRNA from 1 species
CGCGUAGGCGGCCGAGCGGGUCACGGGUGAAGUCCUCCAGCUUAACUGGAGAACUGCCUUUGAUACCACUGCGGCUCGAGGAAGGAAGGGGCAAUCGGAACUGUCGGUGGAGCGGUGAAAUGCGUUGAUAUCGACAGGAACGCCGGUGGCGAAAGCGGAUUGCUGGUCCUUUUCUGACGCUGAUGCGCGAAAGCCAGGGGAGCAAACG